rnacentral:rRNA from 1 species
GAUCAUGGCUCAGGAUGAACGCUAGCGGCGGGCCUAACACAUGCAAGUCGAGGGGCAGCACGGUGUAGCAAUACACUGGUGGCGACCGGCGCACGGGUGCGUAACGCGUAUGCAACCUACCCAUAACAGGGGGAUAACACUGAGAAAUUGGUACUAAUACCCCAUAACAUCAGGAACGGCAUCGGUUCUGGUUGAAAACUCCGGUGGUUAUGGAUGGGCAUGCGUUGUAUUAGCUGGUUGGUG